AUUGAACGCUGGCGGCAGGCCUAACACAUGCAAGUCGAGCGGAUGAAGGGAGCUUGCUCCUGGAUUCAGCGGCGGACGGGUGAGUAAUGCCUAGGAAUCUGCCUGGUAGUGGGGGAUAACGUCCGGAAACGGGCGCUAAUACCGCAUACGUCCUGAGGGAGAAAGUGGGGGAUCUUCGGACCUCACGCUAUCAGGUGAGCCUAGGUCGGAUUAGCUAGUUGGUGGGGUAAAGGCCUACCAAGGCGACGAUCCGUAACUGGUCUGAGAGGAUGAUAGUCACACUGGAACUGAGACACGGUCCAGACUCCUACGGGAGGCAGCAGUGGGGAAUAUUGGACAAUGGGCGAAAGCCUGAUCCAGCCAUGCCGCGUGUGUGAAGAAGGUCUUCGGAUUGUAAAGCACUUUAAGUUGGGAGGAAGGGCAGUAAGUUAAUACCUUGCUGUUUUGACGUUACCAACAGAAUAAGCACCGGCUAACUUCGUG
rnacentral:rRNA from 1 species